rnacentral:rRNA from 1 species
CCCUUAGAUGUUCUGGGCCGCACGCGCGCUACACUGACGGAGGCAGCGAGCAUGUCCUUCGCCGAGAGGUGUGGGGAAUCUUGUGAGUCUCCGUCGUGCUGGGGAUAGAUGGUUGCAAUUGUCGAUCUUGAACGAGGAAUUCCUAGUAAGCGCGAGUCAUCAGCUCGCGCUGAUUACGUCCCUGCCCUUUGUACACACCGCCCGUCGCUACUACCGAUUGGAUGGCUUAGUGAGACCCUCGGACCGAUAGGCUGUCGCCGCGGCAACGUGGCGACCGGCCCGUCGGGAAGAAGGUCAAACUUGACUGUCUAGAGGAAGUAAAAGUCGUAACA